UUUUUUUAUUUAUUAUUUAUUUUUUCUGUUCGAAAUAGAAUUAUAUUAAAGUUUGAGACUGUAAUAUAUAGUAUAUUGCUAAUCGCAACUAUUGCCAAAUGUUUUCAACUAUCCGUCUGUUCAGUUACGGCAAUAAUAGAUGGGCUUUUAAAACUAUGCAAAGUUCAGAAGGAAAACAAAUGUAUCAUGGGUUCGUUUGGAUAGUGGCAGUUAUAUGGUGUGGAGAACACUCAAUCAGCAGGGGGCAGUAGAAAAUGAAAUAACGACGUUUAUUUACACGAAGACACACAGGACAACACAAAGCCGACAACUAUAUACAGCACACAAUUAUCUUCAGCCGAGACGUGCAGACAACAGACUCUAAUGCAGACCGUAGCGCACAACUUAAUUCAGCACUCACUUGACUCCGUCGCUGCUCCGCUAAUCUCUGGAAGGCCAGUUCUUGCUGUCGAUUCCGACUACUCUUCGACUCCACUGGUCCACCACCCGAUUCACCACUGCCCGGCAGCUGC